AAGAAUUUCAGCUUUGGGUGCUGACG
rnacentral:piRNA from 1 species